UACGGAGGGAGCAAGCGUUACUCGGAAUUAUUGGGCGUAAAGGGCGCGUAGGCGAUCUGAAAAGUUCUGUGUGAAAGCCCACAUGUUAACUGUGGAAGUGCACAGAAAACUGUUGGAUUUGAGUUCAGGAGAGGAAGGCAGAAUUCCCGGUGUAGCGGUGAAAUGCGUAGAGAUCGGGAGGAAUACCAGUGGCGAAGGCGGCCUUCUGGACUGACACUGACGCUGAGGAGCGAAAGCCAGGGGAGCAAACGGG
rnacentral:rRNA from 1 species